UGGCAUGAAAUAGAUCCGUCCCUGGGUACGGCCUCUUGUUUAAUAAUUUAACAGCUGACCAUUUAUUAACAUUAUCCCCUCUUUUGCUUCACAUUCUGUCACAGUGGAUGGAAUUUCUUUGUUUCCAGUAAGCAUAUGCUAUACCCCAACCAUGCAAAAAAGAAUAAACUGUCAAUCCUAAAUAUUUUAGUACUUUCAAUUUCCUCUUUAGAAAAAUAAAACUAAUAAUUUUGUACUACCAAUUGUUACAUCUUCGAUUGUACUCGUGUUUUACAACGUUUUAUUGUUAAUUUUUUUUUAAUUUAAGAUGAGUAACGUGUCUGAUUCGGGGAAGAGUUGUUUGGAUAGCAGUAAUUAACGAGGUUUGUAAGCAUAGAAAUAUGAUUACUUUUAACGGGGGAGCUGAAAGCUUUUGCUUUGGUUCAAUUAAAGACUUAGUCAUGAGUAUAUCCAAGUCACAGUUUGAAAUUUUUUUUCUUUUCUGAUUGGUGCAUAGAUCCGUUGGUUUGUAUGAAGAUGAUCUUAUGACGUAUUCAUUCAAGCUGUUUGACUGUUUUCCCUAUAUUUCUUCCUUUGGAUUAGUUAGGAGAGUUCUGUUUUGACAGACUUUAGAGUAAGCCUUCUGAUGAAGAUUAUGAGUGAGUUUUUGUUUAAGGCUUGAAUCACCCCUAAAAUGAUUCAUAUUUAUUUAUUUUUUAUUAUCGAUAAAAAAAAUUAUGAAAAAGGUUAAUAUUUGAACACUAUUCUAGUUUAACAAAAUAUAAUUACUAAAUAAAUGGUUGAGUUGAGUUUGAUUUGAUUAUAAUAGAAAUAACUUUAAAUAAAGAAUAAACAUGAACUAAACCAUUUAUGCAUGUAAAAAUUAAUGUAUUUAUUAUUAUUAUUUAGUUUAAAUUAUUUUAUAAGUCUUCGAGUUAUUUGAUAAUUUCUAAUUAAUUCUUUGAACGAGUUUUGUAAAAUUUAUGGAGAGUGAAAGAUAGAGAAGGCUUAUAGAAGAAUACUUAGAGUUAAAUAAUCUUAUUAAAAAAUUAGUAAAACAUGGAAAACUCAAGGAAAAAAUACUUUGAAUGAACAUGUAGGUGAAGAUAAAAAUAAGGUUGAAUAAUCUCAUUAAGAAUAUUGAAUUCAAAAAGUUUGAAAAGGUGAAAUAUAAACAGUUUUUGCUAGGAAGAUGAGACCUAAAGAACUAUUGAAUUUCCUUCCUUCGAGCAGGUUGUUGGGGUUUUACUGUGAUCCUUUCGAUCUUCACGCUACUCCUUCACCUCUCAGUCUCGGAUGAAUGCCAAAUGGGAGAAGUACCUGUAGAAGGCACUCCGACGCUCGGACGUGUGUACAAUAAUAAUGACGUACCUUAUUCCUUGGAAUGUAUGUAUUUAUAUUAUUUUAAUGAACUUACCUUGUUGGGUCCGAUUAGUGGAAUAGAUCACACUUAUGGUUGCAUUAUCUAAUUCUUAAUGGUAGUUUAGCUUCACUGACCUUGGUGUUGAACGUGUCGGUUGGCCUGACUGUCCGUGGGUGUCUUGGUCAACUCGAUCAGGAAGACCGAACCACGUCAACCUAUUAGUCGGUCAUAUCAGUACAAAAAGCUAAAACUAAAAACAUUUAGAAAAAUCACAUCCAUGAAUUAUUCUCUAUUUCCAAAUACAGAAGUAUAAUAGAUUUAACAUAUUUUUUUCGUUUCACAAGUAUUCAAUUUUCUCCUUUCCAAACUUUUGACGAAACAUACCAAACAUAAGUUUCUAAUUUGAUUACAAUUCUCCCAAUAUCUAUCUAAAUGUUGCAUAAUGGUUCCAAAACGUUGCAUCAUAAUUUGAGCAAUCUUGAUGGUUUAUUUGAAAGAAGAGUAAGGAAAAAUAAUAAUUUUCUUUAUUUUAUUGAGAAACAAUAUGAAAAAUCAGCAAAUUUGAAUUUGAUCUAGUUCUCUGGUACAGAAUGAUUAAAUAUUGGAAUUUUCCUUUUUAUCUUUUCUGUAAAAUGAAACAGGGAAUAAAGAAUGAAAAGAUGGAGAUAAAAAAAAAUGUGAAAUUGAUGAUAAGGUUGGAAAGGAAGAAACCCAAGUUGUGUCGACACAAUCAGCUGUGGCGUCUUACCUUAUAUAGAUACAUAUGGCUGCGAAUUGCAGAGCAGACCUGCAAAACAAUAAUGACAAAAACAUCUUACGCAUUACUCGAAUUAAGGUGGCUAUUGCAGUUGGCAGAGGACCAAAAUCGUGUCCUCUUUUCGAAGGAAGGAGUGACACAUGAUUCUAUGUGACUUCCAAAAACAGCAAAAGAAAGAAAAGAAGAAACCAACGUGCGUGUCUCGUGAAUUUCAACAGCGCACGUGAAAGGCACGUGCACUGCUCAUGGUUGGGAUAUAAUGAGCAAUGUUUGGUGAGGUUCAGCAGGUCCAUUAAAUAGCAUAAUAAUAGUAUUAUUGAAAAAAUGGAAGAUGCAAAUGCAAAUGCAAAUUCAAAUUCAAAUUCAAAUGCAAUGCACCAGAAAAAAGAUAGAAGGUCCACAUGGAUGGAGCCAAAUCCCAAACCAGGUGUGGAAGGGUCCAAGUGGACGUUGCUCAUUCCCCAUGAUAAUAAAAAAUACUUCAACCAUCAACCAUAUUCACCUUCC
rnacentral:lncRNA from 1 species